CCCGCGCGAGACCUCUCCGCUGGCCGCUUGGCCGUCGACCGAGAGCCAUCGAAGCAGCGUGCGUUGCGAGCAUUCUGUCGUAGCGCCGAAGGUGGCCGGUAUUCCGGUAACCACAGGCAAGCUGGUCAUUUCGGCAAAUGACUGGAGGCAUAAACUCAAGCUGAUGAAGGAACUUCAGAGUAGACGUACGUGAGCAGCCUGAUCGGUCUGCACGGUCCAGACACUUGUUGGUGCAGCGCUUAACCAGUCAAACGAAGCGCUAAUAUUGCUCUAACCAAGUGUAAAACAUUUUAAACAUUUAUAAGAACAACGUGUUGAUGAUUACACUCCUGCGAAAAAUACACACCAGCAGCAAAGAAGAAUGCACUUCGUUGCUGCUACUGUGUAUGGUUGAGCUCUGUGCCACCAGGUGGCUGCACCGUGCAGACCAUUCACAUUUACCUUUCUGCUCAUCUCAUGGCUCAUCCCGGCAGAGUCAAGCGGCCAGACCCUGUCCCCUUGCGCUUGUGUUUGCCCUAAUACCGGACUUGCGAAACGCUAUUGCGUUAGUAAUCUUCCGCUGUAAAGUGACGGCCACAAACGCGCAAACCCUGGCGCCUAUCGGAUAGCCGCAGUCCGAUGCGCAGCAGCCAGUUCGCUCGUAUGCUGCCUUGCAGAGGGACACGAUUUCGCAACUUCACCCCCCGUAUUCUUAAACACACCUUCACUUGAAGCUUCUCCUCGACUCAGCCAAGUCGAGGCGACGGGGCUUCCUUCACUCAAGGCGCCGUUGCGUUUCAUGAACACUACUUCACCUUUACUCCGCCAAGGAACGCCUUGAAAAUGCGCCCUCGACUCAAGUGAAGCGUAUCGACCGAGAAAAGCGUCUGAUAUCGAGACUAUUCUUCAAUGUGCUUAUUAAAAGUCCCAUUAUUUAAGACAAAUAUGUGUUACAGUUCAUUCGUCUUCCUAAUCAAACAACUACACGGCGCAAUGCACAACUUUAGCUCGGCAACGCUGCCACUGUGAGCGUUCGACUGAUAGAGCAAGCGGGAGCUGUGUUUGAGGUCUGGCAACAAUCGCAUCCCAACAGCUGAGAGCAUGGCGCAUGGCUGAGAACCAAGAUAACUUGCGCCGGCAUUUGUCCGCUGCUCUUUCUUUCCUAGUGUUUCAUUCGUGACUGACGUUGCGGUUGUUAAUCGCGGUUACGAUGGGUGAUUUCGUCCUUGUGCGUAUGGUGACCGAGCCUGAAUGACUUCUGAGGCCACAGAUGGAACGGCCGAUGGGCAGCUUUGUUUACCUUCAAGACCGAGUGGUGCUGUGAGUUUGCUGAAGGCAACAACAAGACAAGAAAUAUGGGAUGUGGGCUUUGGAAGGACCAGCUGAUGAAAAAAAUCAACGCCUGUGCUGCACAGUAAGGCUUCUGGCAGACCUGAAAGCAUCGAUAGAUAUGGUGCCUGCCUGUUGGAAUUGCACCAGCUCGCUUCCCUGAAAGAAGCUAGGUGCUCAAGAAGUACUUGACUAACCUACCCGCAUUGUCAUUGUGACAGUCUGCAUCCCCAUUUGGCCUAUUUUUGGAUCCCACAAGACACGCUGCUACCCUGGGUUUUGUACCUCGGUCAAUUGCUGAAGUUCUGCAAGCCCCAUUGAAGCCAACCUGUCAUCCGCAUCCAAUGGAAGAAACUCAUGCAUUGUUCUGGCCGUCAUAAUUUAUCUUAAGCUUAAGCUAGAAGCAUGGUAGAAACAGCAUCUAUUCUACAAGAAUUUACCACUGCAUGCCGUCGGGUGGCUACACCCGACAGGCUACUGUCUUGAACAGAUAUGGUGUUUUAUUCUAGAAUAUAUUUGUCAGCAGUACUACACCUUCUGAUUAUAUCCUUGGAAACAAACAAGCGAAGACACCAAAGACAACAUAGGAGAAAUUACUUGUACUUACUAAUUGAAUUAAAGAAAUGACAAAUUAAUGGCAAUGAAAGUGGUUGAGAAAACUUGCCAUAGGCGUGCGAUGCUCUAACCAAUGGAGCUACCGCGGCACCGUUUUCCCAUCCACUUUCUUGUGUAUUUAUAUUUUACUACUAGAACUAACUACUACUACUACUACUAUUAGAGCUACAUCAUUUCCCACCUGCGGCAAGUUGUUUUUUUCAUCCACUGUCAUUGCCUAUAAUUUAUCAUGUCUUUAAUUCAAUUAGUAAGUACAAGUAAUUUCCCUUAUGUUGUCUUUGGUGACUUUGCUUGUUGGCUUCUCAUGAUAUGAUUAUUAAAUAUCGCGCCCCUCGGUCAGCCCCCUUUCUUCUCCUUCAUUACUGCUUCUGUUUGGAGGAUAAGAGUUCAUUCACGCUGUAUUGCAUACUAUCAAAGUACAAAAAGGCGAGAAUAAUGUUAAUUUAUUGUUUUAGAAAAAAAUUCGCACGAAUUGACCAGAAAUUUUUAAGGGGUACAUACUGACUUAAUAAAUAUGACUGAAGAAAGGACAUCUGGAUGAAAAAUACAAUGACUUCAGCUACAACGUGUCUAUAAAGGCAAAUCCAUGCAGUCAAACUGCUUUUAGUGGUGAUGUUUGAGCUGGUAGGAUGUCAGAAAAGUGAUAGAUGUCUUCAGCAGAAUAUUUCGGCGGCUAUUAUAGUGCAGCAGGACAUUAACUGGAGCUCUCCUCCACUUGCACACCAAUGCAAGCGCAGCACACAGCACAGUUGGAAAGGCAGUUGUUCUUCGUGCGUGUGUUGGCAACCUGGUUCCUGCAUAAGAGAAGGGGUUGGUAAUAAACAUACAACGAUGUUAAAAAAAGACCAUGAAAACUAGCCUAGGUACUGUAUUCGUUUUCUGUAGUUUACAUUUCGUAAUAAUACAUUCGUUUAAGAAGUUUGUGUUCUAGAGCGCGAUUUUUUUACAUUAAUUAGCUCAUACUGUUUUUAUUUAUUUUUAUUAGCAAAGAAACAUUUUUCAGCUAGUCUACCGCUUGCUCAGCAAGCCCGACAACAGCGAUCUAACACUUACAUAAUGAACCCUAUACAGAGCUGGGAUGUUCGCAAUAAAGGUGUGCGAGAUAUAUCUGCUACAACUUGCUAGCACUGUCUGUAUAGGAGCUGUCACUACACUGCUACACCUUUAUUGAUCGGAAUAAAAAAUAAUGUGAUGCACAAGAACUCUA